AAAAGAUCAGAGAACAGCCUCAGAGACCUUUCUCUCUUGAAGAUAAAAAACGGGCACCCUUCCUUCUUCUUCCUCAUUUUCUAACCUAGUAACACACAAGAACAGACUCCUUCCUUCAACACCAAUCCCAGCAGCCCGUCUUGUCAUUAUCAUUUGCACCUCACACACACUAAAACCAUGGAAAAGAAAUCAUCCUCUGAGGCUUAAAAGAAGACAAAUAGAGUAGUGAAGACCUGGAGAAAUCUUCAUUGAAGAAAGAAAAGCAAGUUGUGUCCGAAUUUCGCUUGGAAGUGCAGUGAUUGAUCUUCAAUUUCUGGGUGUUUUAAGACCCAUUUAAUUUUCUGAAAAUUUGUGAGCUAAUCUCUGGGUUUCAGAGAGUGAUUAAACUCUUAAAUCAUUGUUGAGUGUUGCUGAUUCACUACGUUGCUGAACUCCAGAUUCAUUUUUAUCACUGUUUCUCUAUAUUCCAUUUCUACAUCAAGGUACUCUUCUUGAUUUUGACCAUGUAACUUGAUUUGGAUAAUUCAUGUUCUAUGAAAAAUAAUUUUGUGAAGUUACAUGUUCUUCUCUGUUAAGAUAAUGACUAUUAGCGUCGAUUUGUAUGCCAUGUUUAUGACUAAUUUCAUAGAUAAAACAUGAGAUUUUUCUAUACCCUCUCAUAUGCUAUUUUUGUGUUAGUUUGUUUGUUGAACUAAGUGUUUAAAUUCAAAUCAUUCUUUGAAUCAGUUUGUUAAUCAUGGUUUCGAAUACUGCUUAUAACUUCAUUUGUGUUAGCUUGAUGUUCUGAUUUUCACUUAAGGUUGAAAGUUGAAAUUACAAACCACACAUUAUUAGCUUAGUGUCUAUUGAUAGUAGACCUAUCUACAUGGAGCAGUAGUUGUUGUAUUUUAAGGAACUGAACUUAAUGGUCGCUCCUGAUGAAGAAUCUUUUGUGGCUCUAAAAAUGCUCUUUUUCUCAUUCCAGACUCUGUUGUUGCCGAUGAGCUUUUCUCUCAGUUUAAUUCUUUCUAUCGGACGUGGAAAUGGAUAUUCAACCCUGGGAAUAUGAAGCUAUUGUUUCAUAGACCUGAGUCUUUUGUUUGGAAUGCUAAUAAUCAUGUAGCCUCCAGAGUUGCUCGAGGGCAUAUAAUUUGUGGUGUCCAUUUCUUCUUGUUCUGAUAAGUGAUAACUUGAUUCCCUUUGAAGAUUUUAUUUCUUCUGCUAGUACAUAUUCAUAGAUGUAGAGAAAAAAGUUUAACUGCUAUUUAUAUUUUAUCAAGCUGAAAAGCUAUGGCAUGAACUUUUGCUGAUUUUUAAGGAAAGUUGAUUUACUCUAUUUGAUAUUUCUUUUUUAGAUGUUCAAUGUUCAUUAGAUGUGAGUUUACCUGAUAAGAUAGGACGCAUUCACAUAACUGCGUGCUGCAUGUUAUUUUUUUCUAGAUACUAGAUGGUGGGCGUUAGAAGUAAACUGGGUUUGAUAUAAGUUAAUCCAUUUUUUUUGUUUAUUAAUAAAAACGUUAACCAAAUACUACAUUUUCUCACAGCUUUUCCAUAACUCUCCGUUUUACAAUUAUCUCAAACGUAGGAGAUGAAUAAUUAUGAACAUCCGUGGUUCACUUUAGUUGAGUACAAUCUUUUAAAAUAAAUUAAGGCGUGUCAUAGAUAAAUAAAAUCCAUAACCCAUGGCCCUCACAUUAAUACUAACUAGUAUAGAAAACAAUCUUGAACAUUCGUACCUUGCGUUAGGCGCGACUUAGUCUAUUUUCGUGAUUACGCAUAUGUUCGCGUAACAUAAAUAUGAUUUUUCUAAAAAUAAAUUGAGGUAUGCAUUCGCGCAACUUUGAAUAAUGUCACUUUAAUUGGAAAAACUCCCUUAUAUACCCCUCGGGUAUAAAAAGGAGGUGUGACAGCUCUGGCGACUCUGUUGGGGAUAAGAACCCAGAAUCUCUGAUUCAGGGUUCAAGAAUUUGUGCUUGUUAAUGUGAUGUUUACUUGGCUUUAUUAAUUGCUGAUAUUACUGUAUUUUGUGUGCCUAAUGUGCUAAUUGCCGCUUAUUUAUCGCUUUGAUAUUAUUUGAACUGUAUUAAACUGUCUUCUUACGCCUCCCUUCUGAGUCUUCUAAAAAACGGUGCACACAUUGGUGUGACCCACUUUUUCUGUUAAAAGUUAUACCAAAUAGAACGACGACGGGCCAGCAACAAGGCCGGGUAGACUUUCGUGCUCCCGGUACAUUUCCCCCUCUUCGGCUCGAGUUGUCUGCUUGAGUAAGCCAGGUCUAGAAUAUAACCCCAGGUUUAAACUUAGAAUAACGUAACCUCAUGCCGGAGCUGGAUCCCUAGUAGGGACAUUUAUUUGCAUCACGUGCAUUUGACUUUGGGGACUCAACAUAGGGGUUGGGUUCGUUUAGGACAGGUGUACCAAAAUAACAUAUCAUCCUGAUGCAUCCUACGUGCUAUGUGAACAUUUAUUUGUUUUGUCUUGCAUGUUGACCAGCUAAGAAAAGAAAAAAAAAUCAAGAGUGAGGUAGUUAUUUGAAAAUCUUGAAACUUUUCCGAAAUCCUGAAAAAAAAAUCAUUUUAAAAUAAGCCAAUAUUUUCAAAAGUCAUGUUUCCAUGUUCCGUCAAAACUGACCGAACUACGCGGGUCUGAUUCUCACCAGAUGUGAGAUACGUAGGCAAACCUCAUCAGUUCCGGCUCCAAUUCUCAAAAAUCCAAAAAAUAUUUUCCUUUAGUUCCUUCUUUAGAAAUCUUUCCCUAGAAAAUUCAAAAAAAAAUUUGUUUAAACUCAAAAAAUAGUUUACUUCUUUCUAGAGUCUUUCAUACAGAAAAAAAAAGAAAUAAAAAAAAUAAAAUCAAAAUCCAAAAUACGGGUUUCCUUUAUUUUGAAGUUUUUUUACCAAAAAUUUAAAAAACAAAUCCAAAAAAAUAUAUUCUUUUUCUUGUUUAAAAGUCUUUCUUUCAGAAAAAAAUUUAAAAAAAAAAUUGAAGUUCAAAAAUACUUUCUUUUUUCUUUAGAAGUACUUUUAUAAAUUUAAAAACAAAAAUAAAUCAGAAAUCCAAAAUAUUUUUCUUAAAAGUCCCUCUUUCGAAAAUUAAGAGGCAACAUCCAAAAUCCAAAAAAUAUAAUUCUUUCUUCUUUAGAAAAAGAAAAAACAAAUGAAAAUUUAAAUAAAAAUAUCUUCCUUUUACUUUUGAAAUUCUCAAAGUUCAAAUAAAUAAAAAAAGGAAUAUUUAGAAGUCUUUCUUUCAAAAAUAAAGAUAAAAUCAAAAUCAAAAAUCGAAAAAAAGAAAAUAUGUCAAUUCUUCUUUUAAAGCAUUUCUUUCGAAAAUUCCAAAUAAAAAAUAUAAAAAAAACAAUUGUUCAUUGUCCACGAAUUCUCUUUUCUUUAUCUUGUCACUUUUCUUAUUCUCUUUUCAGUUCUUUUAAAUGCAAAUUUCAAUAACAUGACAUGCUUGCGGACUUCAUGCCCAGAUCCUGAAACAUUGUCAGACUUCGAAAUUAUGAGUCAAGAAUCAAAAUGAAAUGAAGAUAAGUUUAAGGAAAAAGCAAAGACUCGGAAUAGCUAAAGAAAAAUUGGUUCCAGAUUGGAAAGGUCCAUACAUUGCAAUAAGAGUACUGUCAAAAGAGUGUGUUGUACUUGGGACACAUCGAAGGAAGUGUCCCUGAAACAACUGUCAAUACAAGUGUUGUCAAAAGGUACCAUGUUGGAUCCUCUAUAUAACAUAAAUGUUCUCCGGUUGGGAUGAAGAAAUCUUUUAUUCUUUCUACCCAAACACUAUCAACCUUUUGCAAACUCUUUGAGCCGGUUACUUUUCUUUCAUUACCUUCUUUGGAACCUGAAAGUAUUAUUGAAAAAAAUAAAAAUUGAAAAAAAUGAAAUGAAUUAAAAAAAUGAAAAAGGAGAAAAAAAAGAUACAAAAAGGGGGGAAGAAAAGACAAAGAAAAUGAAAUUAAAAAAAAUGAAAAAACAAAGAGAGGAAAAAGAAAGAGAAAACAAAAUAAAACAAAAAGCAAAAUAAAAACAAAAGUUUCCCUGAACUACGUUCGACUUGAUUCCUAAAGGACACAUAGGCAGCCUCCCUCUGGGGUUCAGUCACACUAAAAUAAAAAUUCAAAUUCCCCCAAAAGUAAAAUUGGGGCAGAUGUGAUAAUGGUUCGGCGAUGAUCCCGCCCGAAUGGUUCCAAAGUUGUAAUUCAGUCCAAAUCAUUUUUACCCAAAUCCGUUCAAGUCCUUCUGAUCAGUCGGUGAGAAUGUUCAAAGAUCAGAGAAUAUAGCUACUUGGAUCUGAUGCAAUCAAAAUGAGAGAAAUAAAAUGAGGGAGCCUUAUUGGUGAAAACUCACACGGACACCGUAAGGCGAUAGUAAGCAGAGAAAUUGAAAAUAAGAGAGUCUUGUUAGUGAAAACUCGCAAAGAGCACUACAAGGCGACGGUAAGAAGAUAAAUGAGAGAGGUCAGCUCAUGAAAACCCGCAAAGAGCGCCCCUCAUCGAAAAGAGGAUCCUCAUAGCCAUCGGCAUCGAUAGAGUCUUGGCAAGGUUUCUCCAUUUUGAGGCCAAAGUUGUGAUGAAUUUCUAAGAGUCGGACGAUUUGCAUGGAUCAGGCAUCAUGUCCAAAUGGCAUGUCAUGUUCAUUGAAGUCCGCAUGUACUCCAGAUAAGUCCUUCUUUCCUUUCCUCGAAAGGGAUACCUCUUGUCUAAAUUCAUUUAUCCAUUCCAUUGUUUAUUUUUUCUUUGAAUCCUUUUCGGUCUAACUCUAUUCCGAAACUGGGACAAAGAAGGGAUGGCCAGACUGAUUGACACGAGCUAAUGUGCAAUAAGGCACCCAGCUUCGUCAUGGGCAUCAAGUCGACUUCGACCGGCCAUGGUGGCUGAUGUUUUGAAAUUGAAAACUCUUGGAAUGAGAAAAUCAAAUUGAAGUGCCUAUAAAGGCAAAUGAAGUUAAAAAGGUCUGGUCCCACGUGGCUAACCAUCUCGGCAAAGGUUUGAAAAGUCAAGGUACCCCAAAUGCUCUGAAAUUGAAAUCGGAAGAAAGAAGCAAGAAUGAAAGGCUUAUGAAGGCAAAAUAAAGUUGAAAAGGUUAAAGUCCCACACAACUAACCAUUGCGACAAAGUUUGAGGAGCCAAAAGAGUCAUAAGUGAAAGGCCUAUGAAGGCAAAAUAAAAUCGAUAAGGGUGAGUUCCACCAACCAACCGCCAUGGCAAAGUCUGAAAAAAUCAGAGGGUCUCCAGGGCCUAAAAUGAAAUCAGUCCUCAGGGAACAAGCAGUUGCAGUUGAGAUCUUCAUCAAAGAAGCCGGGUCGAGAUCAAGUGUUGAAAUAAUCAAGGCCACAAAACCAACCACUAUUUCAAACUAACAAUUGUUCUUUGUUUGAAAAUAUGAAACAUGUGCAAUCCGAAGCAACCUUGCAAGAAGCAGGUGCAACCAAAGAGAAACUGCGCAAGGGCUAGAAACAGUGUUGCAGCAAUAAUCAAUCCAAAAGGGAAGUCUCCUCCGAAUUGUUUCCUGCAAUUUUACUCAUUUUCUUAAAAAAUGAAAUGAAAAGAAAGAAGAAGAAAAUUCAAAAUUACGGUAGCAUAGGGUCCCACUCCCUAGCUGAUGCCAACAUAACCUAGUAAUCUUUUCCAAUAUAGGGUCCCACUCCCUAGCUGAUGUAAGCAUAACAUGGUAAUCUUUUCCAACUUAGGGUCUCAUUCCCUAGCUGAUGCCAGCAUAACCUGGUAAUCUUUUCCAACAUAGGAUCCCACUCCCUAACUAAUGUCACCAUAAUCUGGUAAUCUUUCCAACAUAGGGUCCUAGCCCUAGUCUAUGCCAGCAUAACCUGGUAAUCAUUUUCAACAUAUGGUCUCAUUCCCUAGUUAUCCUCGGCAUAACCCGACAACCUUUCCGGCAUAACCCGAUGACUUCCCCGACAUAACUCGAGGACCUUCCCAGCAUAACCCGAUGACUUCCCCAGCAUAACCCUAGGACCUUCCCGGCAUAACCCGAUGACUUCCCCAGCAUAACUCGAGGACCUUUCCGGCAUAACCCGAUGACCUUCCCCGGCAUAACCCGAGGACCUUUUCGGCAUAACUUGAGGACCUUUCCGGAAUAACCCGAUGACCUUCCCGGCAUAACCCGUGGACUUUUCCAGCAUAACCUGAUGACUUCCCUGGCAUAACUCGAGGACCUUUCCGGCAUAACCCGAUGACUUCCCCAGCAUAACCCGAGGACCUUUCUGGCAUAACCCGAUGACUUUCUCGACAUAACCCGAGGACUUUUACGGCAUAACCCGAUGAAUUUUCUAGCAUAACUUGGUAAUUUUUCCAACGUAGGGUCCCACUCUCUAGCCGAUGCCAGCAUAACCUGGUAAUCUUUCCUAGUAUAGGUUCCCACUCCCUAGUUGAUGCCAACAUAACCUGUUAAUCUUUCAAACUUAGGGCCUCUGAUUCCCAUUUGAUUUCAUUUUAAAUAUAGGGUCUCCACUCCCUAAUAUCUUUUUCUCAAAGAUGCACAAUCCCGAUUUUAUUUGCUUUCAAUAAAGAAGUAGUUUAGAUUUUUGUUACAAUAACUCACGAAAUUUUUCUAGUGAAAACUGGGGCUGAAAAUUUCGUUCGUUUGAUUGUUUUGGUGCCUGAGCAAGUUUUUACCUUGAGGCGACCAAAAAAGAAGUCUCGAUUCGAAUAAAAGAAAAAAAACAAGAAAAGAAGUAAACUCUAAGUGUAGAAGCGGAGAAAAGAAGCGGGCUGCUCAAGAUAUAAUUGAAGUCACAAGUUUUGCAUGUCCCGCCUUGAUCCGAAAAGCAGAAGAAGAAUAAACCAGCGGUUGCAGCUAACGAGCAUCAAGAUUCGAAUCAGAGUCUGCAUGAAGAACCAGCCAAGACUCAAGAUCAAGUUUUAGAAGGUUUAUAGAUAAGAAUCUUGUAACUCAUAGUUGAUAGGCUUAGCUAGUUUAGCUUUUCAUAUUUCAUUUUGGUGUAAUAAUGAGUUCAGUAAGCAGAAACAGCAGAAACAGCAGUGAAGUCACAGUUUCUCGGUAGUCCUAGCUACCAAAACUUCCAAAACUACACUGACCCAAUUCCUUUAUAGUCAAGGUUAUGUAGGCAACCUCUGAAGCAAGGUUCGGUCAAAAAAUUCAAAAUGCUUCCAAAUGGAGUUUCAAACGGGCAAAAAUUGCUUGUAAUUGCUCACUUUAUCUUUGCCCGAAAACUCUUCAUGUUUCCGAGCAAAGAGGGGCAGCUGUGAGCACCUAAUUUUUGCCCUACAUGAAAAUAACUCCUAAAAAUAGACCAAAAUCAUUUUAAUGGAUUUCUAGGAGUUUUUCUUUAUUUAGUUGCAUUUCAUGCAUGUUUAAUAUUUUAAAAUCAUGAGAAAAACCAUAAAAAUUGUCAUAUUUUAAUUUCAUGUCAUCUUAGGUUUAAUUUGCAUUUAGGAAUCAAUUACAUUGCUAAACGCAUUAUUUAAAUAACUAAAAAUCAAAAACAUGCAUUCUUAGGUUAGUUAAUUAAUUAGUCAAAAUAGAUAAAUAAUUUUACCAUACAAAUUAGAUUAAACUAAAUUAGAGUUUAAAAUGGCUAACAUUGCAAAAAUCAAGGAAAAAAAGAAAGGGUUUUGAUUUGGUUUUGUUUUAAAUUUGGGCUAAAAUCAUUUCUGAUGGCCCAAUUCUCUCAAAAAAAUACCCAGCCCAUCUCUCUAACCUACCCAAACCCCUUAUCCUUUAAUUAAAACCUAGAUAUAGAAAAAGAGAUCGAAGACCUAAGAAAAUAGGGGACCUUCCGCUUUAGAUUAGGAGCGAGCAGCGCAUCUCUGGGGAAAAAACAUCAUAGAACAACAUCAGAAACCUUUGUCUUUUGAAGAUAAAAAAUGGGCAACCCUACUUCUUCUUCCUCAUUUUCUAACCUAAAACACACAAGAACAGACUCUUUCCUUCAACACCAAUCCUACUAGCCCGCCUCGCAAUUCUCAUUUGCACCUCACACACACUAAAAUCAUGGAAGAGAAAUCAUCCUCUGAGGAUUAAAAGAAGACAACUAGAGUAGUCAAGACCCGGAGAAAUCUUCAUUGAAGAAAGAAAAGCAAACUGUGUCCGAAUUUCGCUUGGAAGUGGAGUGAUUGAUCUUCAAUUUCUGGGCGUUUUAUGACCCAUUUGAUUUUCUGUAAAUUUGUGAGCUAAUCUCUGGGUUUCGGAGAGUGAUUAAACUCUUAAAUCACUAUCGAGUGUUGCUGAUUCACUAUGUUGCUGAACUCUAGAUUCAUAUUUAUCAUUGUUUCUCUAUAUUCCGCUACAUCAAGGUACUCUUCUCGAUUUUGACCAUGUAACUUGAUUUGGAUAAUUCAUGUUCUAUGAAAAUUAAUUUUGUGAAGUUACAUGUUCUACUCUGUUAAGAGAAUGACUAUUAGCAUCGAUUUGUAUGCCAUGUUUAUGACUAAUUUCAUAGAUACAACAUGAGAUUUUCCUAUACCCUCUCAUAUGCUAUUUUUGUGUUAGUUUGUUUGUUGAACUAAGUGUUUAAAUUCAAAUCAUUCUUUGAAUCAGUUUGUUAAUCAUGGUUUCGAAUACUGUUUAUAACAUCCUUUGUGUUAGCUUGAAGUUCUGAUUUUCACUUAAGGUUGAAAGUUGAAAUUACAAAACCACACAUUAUUAGCUUAGUGGCUAUUGAUAGUAGACCUAUCUACAUGGUGCAGUAGUUGUUGUAUUUUAAGGAACUGAACUUAUUGGUCGCUCCUGAUGAAGAAUCUUUUGUGGCUCUAAUAAUUCUCUUUUUCUCAUUCGGGACUCUGUUGUUACCGAUGAGGUAUUCUCUCAGUUCAAUUCUUUCUGUCGGACGUGGAAAUGGGUAUUCAACCCUGGGAAUAUGAAGCCAUUGUUUCUUAGACUUGAGUCAUUGUUUGGAAUGCUAAUAAUCAUGUAGCCUUGAGAGUUGCUCAAGGGCGUAUAAUUUGUGAUGUCCAUUUCUUCUUGUUCUGAUAAGUGAUAACUUGAUUCUGUUUGAAGAUUUUAUUUCUUCUGCAAGUACAUAUUCUUAGAUGUAGAGAAAAAAGUUGAACUGUUAUUUGUAUUUUAUCAAGCUGAAAAGCUAGGGCAUGACCUUUUGCUGAUUUUUAAGGAAAGGUGAUUUACUCUAUUUGAUAUUUCUUUUUUAAA
rnacentral:lncRNA from 1 species